UUCAUACAGUGGUAUUGUUUUUGGAGUUAAUAAUUUAUUAAAACUAAGGCGUAAAGUAAGCAACAUAUAAGCAAAAAAAGACGCUAUCCCCAGGUAUCACAGGCUCAGUCUGUCUGUGACCUACAUAAUAUAGCAUAUUUGUGAUUUAGCUGUAAACAUGUUUUAUAAUGCAUAAAUAACAGGGGAGCUCCAUUAAGUACACGACUCAAUAGUAGAUUUACAUAAACUAUAUAUACUUCUUGAAGACUAGUACUAAAAUGUCUAUUUAUCAUCUGACUGGAUAAUGUUUGAUAAGUAUUGUAGAUGAGCACAUCCAACAGACAUGAAACAGGUGUCUGAGUGAUAUGUGUGUGUGAUAUUGUGUAGAAUUCACUUUUGUCAACACUGCUAUAGAUGAAUGGACAGAUGAGACACAUGUGUGUUUAUCUGCUGUAGAGUAACUGAUGAAGGAAUGCUACCAUCAAAGGAUUUGUAUCUUUUGUGGUGGAGCAGGACCUGCAAGGAAAGGUGAAAAAGAGGGAAAACCUGAAACAAAAGAAUAAUGUAAUGACUUUUUGUAUUGUGUAUUUUUGUAGGACAUGAACAUGUCUGUAGACUGGUGUGUGCACUGAGGAUGGAGAAGACCACAGCAUCAUCCUGGAAAUGAUCGAGAGUCACAGAUGAGAUGCUCCAUCACUCCAGCUCUUACCGUCUCAUCAGGACCAGAUGCUGCUGUGGUGUCUUCAUCCUCAGUGACCCCAGAGCCAGUGAGAGCAUCUAGAGAAAGACCACAAGACACUGAGGAUGUGAUUUUGGUAAUGUUUGUUCAGCUGGUUAAUGUUUAAACAAUGAAGGCUGACUUUCAGAAGCUUCAAAAGCAUCAUCAAAAAAUGUGAUGGAGCUUUUAUCUGAAGUGAUUGACAGUGCUCUUAUAACAGGGGCCUACAAUCCCCUGAUCAACCUGGAGAAGAGAGCCUUGCUCAAGGACACACUGGUGUUCCUGUGGCUCAAGGGGUAGAGCAUUGCGUUAGCAGUGCAAGGUUGUGGGUUCGAAUACCAGGGAACACAUGUUAGGUAGUCGUGCUCAUGGGGUGCAGGCACACGAAAGUUUGGAGCAGACACAGCAGUCAGAUUGUCCUGCACGUGUUCCCCUGCUCUAGCUUCAAGGUUGUGUGGUUCAGAGAGCCGUCAUCAAGGUCUUCCUCAUCCUGUUGCUCAACGACAUCCCCAUUGAGAAGAGUGCGAUUGUGAAGUGCAGCGGCAGAACUGUAUCAGCUGUGUUCAGAUGGCAGGAGGAUGUUGGGUUCACCAUCUGUAAAUACUUGAUUGUUAGAACAAUAAGUUUGAAUGAAGCUUUGUAUCAUGUGUUGUUGACUUGUGCAUGUAUGCAUUUAUUGUGAUGCUAACUUUUAUACAUUAUUUUAAUCAUUUAGACAUAUUUUUGGUUGUCAGUAAAUAAAAUAUAAAUAUUUUA